UUAUAUUAACUAUGAGAGAUCGUUGUAGAUUGGAGACUAAUCUGUAGCUUGAAACAUGCAACCAGCAAUGAAAGCAGAGGAUGAUGAAUCAGUGAGGAUGAAUGGAAUUGUGUGUUCAAGAUGGAUCGUCUCAAAUAAUAUACCGUUCGUAAUGAAACAAAAACUCGAAAUUUUGAAUCCAGUGAAUCAGAAUUGAGGAUCUCUAAGAUUUAAUCACCUUGCAGAGAUCAACGGAGCAAAGGAUGAAUCUUUCUAUUAGGCAGAUGAUACACAGAGAUAAAGUUCCCAAAUUUUAUUAUGGUCUGUACGCAUAUGAGGUAACAAAUACACUGUCAUGUAUUAUUCUUCUUUCUCAAUUCAUUGUGUAUGGUGGUUUGUAAAUAAUAUAUAUGUGUUAUUUGAUUUGCAUGA